UCUGAAGAAGUUUGUACCUCGCUGUUGUUCUGUAAUUGGACACCUAACCUCUGUGGAAGCGGUUGCAGAAGAAGAGGAAGUUGAUGAUCAGCUGUUAUGGAAUCUCCAGAUUUUAUCGGAGGUUGUGCGUUCCAGUGGAUCAUUACAGUAUAAAGAUAAACUCAUUGCGGCAAUUAAAUCAACCAUUUACCUCAAGUGCAAAGAAGCAGCUACUCUGGGAGCUAUAGUAAGUAGCCUAAAAGCCUGGUGGUUUCUAGAGGUCACCUCGCCAUACAUUGAAAUAUUUAUAAAUAAUUACUAUAUUAGGCAAAAAGGAAAAUAAAUAGAAUGAAUGAAUGAAUGAGUUCAUUCCAUUGUAUUUACCAAUAUUAUAUGUUAUUGUACAUUGAACUCACUUUCUCUUUUCUGAUUGGCCGAAAGCGUACAGUGAAUUUUCGAAAUCAGCACCUGU